GGCUGCUGUGGGGGAGGGGGGGGUGAGGUUCCCAGGUGAAUAGAGUUGUGUACCUAGGAGGAUAAUGGCUGCCUCUGCUGAGUCAUGCAGGUUGUUAGGGAAGUGAGGGAAAGCUGGCAGUCACAGGCCUCACCCAGCUCCCAUGCAAUCCAAAUGGCCAGUCUCACUCUCACCAUGCCCCCUCUAAAGCAUUGAGUCUGUUUCCAAGCAGUGGGUAAGCAGGGGUGAGAACUUGCCGCAGGCUACCCACCUCCCAGCUGUGAAAGAAAAGGGCUUUCGUUCUUCCCCCACCUGUGGAGUCUACACGCUGGAUUUGUGCCCUCCCUUGAGUUCUGGCCAGGAGGCUUCUCCACCUGUUCAAAUUGUUAUAAAGUUCAGCUGGAGACUUCCUUCUCUCCGUGGCAUUUUCCUCAUGCCUCUGGCCACCCUCCCAAAGGAUCCCUGUGAGGCCAGGCAGGAAUGGCCUGCUUGGGGACCCAGCAAGCUUCUAGGGCCUUUGCUGCUGCUUCCUCUACCCCUGUAUUUCGCUCGGCUCUCUAAAUGGACUCAGCUCCAGAUGAGGAAACGGAGAUUCACAAAAAUCAGGUCAUUUGUCUGAGGUCCGAGUACUGUGUGAUAGAGCAAAGAUUUGAACCCAGCUCUCUACUUACAGGUAAAUUGUCUUGUGAUUAUUUCCACAGAACUCUGACUUGGAUAAGAUGCACAAUAUUUCAUUAUGUGGAUGCACUACAGUUAACCAGACUCCUAUUGUUGGACAAAUUGGACAGGCUGCAUGGAGAUUGUAGCAUGAAUGCAGAUAUUGGAAAUUUACUGGAUGUAUGAUCAGACAAACCAAUUGAAGUGGAGAAGAGAACCAAUCAGCCAAAUCAUUACAGAAGUUGCACCACUGCCUGAAAUAUCUUGACUGAUUCUAUAUAAGUUGAAUUUUUGCCGAAUAAAUUCUGAAAAUAAUUACAAGCUUCCUUUUGAUUUGAAUGUUACACAUCAAGUUCUAGUAAGAGCUAAUUUUACAUCAUUGACAGAUAACAAAAUAGAAGGAACAAAGUGCCCUUUGAGUUAAGGGCACUCCAAUGUCCCGGAAUUUAACCUUUUUGUCAGAUCAAUAAGGUUUAGUGCAACUAGCCAGACACCUGUCC
rnacentral:lncRNA from 10 species